UUAGGAUGUCACGUUGUACACAA
rnacentral:siRNA from 1 species